rnacentral:sRNA from 1 species
UUUUUUUCUUCUCCUUUU